rnacentral:SRP_RNA from 1 species
GCCGGGCACGGUGGUGCAUGCCUGUAGUCCCAGCUACUCGGGAGGCUGAGGUCGGAGGAUUGCUUGAGCCCAGUAGUUCUGGGCUAUAGUGUGCUAUGCUGAUCGCGUGUCUGCACUAAGUUUGGCAUCAAUACAGCGACAUCCUGGGGACAGGGGACCACCAGGUUGCCUAAGGAGGGGUGAACCGGCCCAGGUCGGAAACGAAGCAGGUCAAAACUCCCAUGGUGAUCAGUAGUGGGAUUCUCCCUGUGAAUAGCCACUGCACUCCAGCCUGGUCAACAUAGCAAGACCCUGUCUCU